rnacentral:rRNA from 1 species
UACGUAGGGGGCUAGCGUUGUCCGGAAUCAUUGGGCGUAAAGAGCGUGUAGGCGGUCCGGUAAGUCCGCUGUGAAAGUCGGGGGCUCAACCCUCGAAUGCCGGUGGAUACUGUCGGGCUAGAGUGCGGAAGAGGCGAGUGGAAUUCCUGGUGUAGCGGUGAAAUGCGCAGAUAUCAGGAGGAACACCUAUUGCGAAGGCAGCUCGCUGGGACGUAACUGACGCUGAGGGACGAAAGCUAGGGGAGCGAAUGGG